UAUUACAGGGAAAUCAUGAAAACCAUCACUCAUGGAAACCUAACUUCACCAAAGGAGUCCUUGAGACAUACGGCCACCAUGACAGGAAAUCUAUUGGAUGAAACUGGAAAGAGAGAAGCCAGAAAAAGAAAGACCAAAGCUUUGUUCCUGUAGGCGGGCACCAGGAAGCAUGGCUACUCUACUGAUGGCUGUAAGGGUGGAAUAGCCCCAGUAAAUAACACGAUCUUGGGGUUCAUGGUGUGUUCAGAUAUCCCGCAACAGCAAGUCAUUCAGACGAUCAGUGCUGCUCUCUUAGCAGGGGACACUCCUCAAGCAGGACUGGAUUAAUCCAUGGGAGCGAGCAGCUGAGCCGUGAGAAGCCAGAAAGCCUGAUGUGGUCCACCCCUUUCCCUGGAAUCACUCCUUUCCAUGUGGGCUGAAUGCCCACGUGCAGCUGUCUGAUCUCAGGAUUUCUAUCAUCCAGAGGAUUCUCUGGAAGCUCCAGCGGGGUUGGCCCAGCUCCUGGCUUCCUCUCCUGGCAACAGCCUCAGGUCUUUUUGAUGAAUUGAAUGAGAAGUGGAGCCCUCAGGUCCAGUCCUGAUCCUGCAGCAGGUGCUUGCUCAUGAAGCUUACACAGAACUCAUGUGACCACGAAGCCAAGGUGGCCGAGAGAAGGCAGCUUCCUGGAAUCUCAGCCUUCCACCAGGCCAGGAGCCAGUCUGCUGCUUCUGUCUGCCUGUACCAAGCAUCUCCCUCAGAGGGAGGAGCCAUGGCCCCAGAAGAUGCUAAGCACUAAAGGAGGCCAUAUGCUUCUACCUUACCAGGUUUUCCGAUGCCCGUGGAGGUCAGAAGAGGGUACCGGACCAAUGGAAUUCAGGUGGCUGUGGUGAGCGCUGUGGGUUGUGAGAACUGAACCUGGGUCCUCUGUAAGAAGGACAAGAGCUCAUGACUGCUUAUCUUCUCUCUGGCCCCUCAUUUUACCUUCACGGGGUCUUGCGUGGCCCAGCCUCACCUCUGAGCUGCUGCUCAGAGAAGGUGGUGGAGAGACUUCAAAGAAUGAAACAAGAUGGCGUGACCCCGGGCCCUUUGAAACUGAGCCAGACCUGGAAUCCAGCCCCUGCCUGCUUUCUUCUGCACUGAAGAAUAAGGACCUUCUAAGCCUUGUGUAUCCGCUCUUCCUUAGCCUGGGAUCGGGGGUUCAAGACCAUUCUCGCCCACUACACAGCAUGUGUGGAGCUGGGCUGGUCACGUGAGAACCCUGCCUUAAUUAAUUAAUUAAUUAAUU
rnacentral:lncRNA from 1 species